GCACCCGUAGCUCAGAUGGAUAGAGCGUCAGACUCCGACUCUGAAGGCCGUGGGUUCGAGCCCCGCCGGGUGUACCA
rnacentral:tRNA from 1 species